CUACCCUUGACAUCGAGAGAACUUUCCAGAGAUGGAUUGGUGCCUUCGGGAACUCUCAGACAGGUGCUGCAUGGCUGUCGUCAGCUCGUGUUGUGAAAUGUUGGGUUAAGUCCCGUAACGAGCGCAACCCUUGUCCCUAUUUGCCAGCGAUUCGGUCGGGAACUCUAGGGAGACUGCCGGUGACAAACCGGAGGAAGGUGGGGACGACGUCAAGUCAUCAUGGCCCUUACGGGUAGGGCUACACACGUGCUACAAUGGCCGGUACAAAGGGUUGCGAAGCCGCGAGGUGGAGCUAAUCCCGAAAAGCCGGUCUCAGUCCGGAUCGGAGCCUGCAACUCGACUCCGUGAAGUCGGAAUCGCUAGUAAUCGUGAAUCAGAAUGUCACGGUGAAUACGUUCCC
rnacentral:rRNA from 1 species